UUAGUCUGCGGCCGCCGCUGCGAAAUCAGCGGUCGGGUUUAGCAGUCCGAGAU
rnacentral:ncRNA from 1 species